AGACUUCCUGUUGGGUUUAGGGUUUAGGUGUAAGAGGGUUUUUUGUAGAACUCAGUUCGAUAAUCGUGUCCUGAAAAAAUCACAUAUGUAGAUUAAACCGUGUGGAGGGGCUGAAUUUUUUAAGUUGGCGACACUUCAGAGACGUUUUUCACACAUUUUACAGGAAACCAAUGAGAUGCAAUGUUAUUCUCCAAAUAUGUGAUCAUCUAGUCAGAAGAAAGAGAGACUGAAUGACUGAACGAAUGAGUGAAUGUAUAAAUUCCUUAGGCUCCCAGUGUCAAUUCUUCCUCCAUCUUUGUCUUCUGUUUCUCAGCUUCUGCAGAAGUUUUUCUUACACAACAAAAAUUAAACUCGUUCCUCUCGUCAUCCCUCCUCUCGCUCCCCGGUGUUUUAUUUAAUUUCUUUCUUCAUAUAAGAGUCAAAACACCCGGAGUCCUUCUGCUCCUCCUCUGCGGCGCUCUGAAAACCUGAGAUCCGUAACCUCGAUUUUGAUUUGUGCCACACAGCAAACUGAAGAUUCGUGCUCAAACUCGCCGCCCUGAAAGCGUAAAAGUGUAAAAACUGAACUCUGGCGCCGGUCCAGCUUGUUUAUCGGAGGUUACCGGGUCAUGCGAAGAACAUCUGGACUGCUGGGUCCACCUCGUGUAGAUCUGACACAUCUGGAGGCAGAAAUCUGAUCUUCAGCAGGUUAUGCAAGAUGAAGAGUACAGUUACAGCGCUGUUUUCUCUGGUUGUAGAUAUUGAUUGGUUGAAUAUGUAAGAACAGCUGGUUCACGUUGUGCUUUGGCGUCGGGCCUUCUCUCCCAGGGUUGCGUAUGUGGGAGUAAAUCUUGUAUGACCCAGUCAGGAUGGUGGGCCGGGCCUGGAGCUCUCCAUCCAGCAGGCUGGACUGGAGACUGGAAACAGAUGGGGUGAAGAGCCAGGAUCCAGUCUGCGGGGAUUCAUUUUGGUUUGAUUUUAUUUUUCUCCUGUCGGAUCGGCUGCCUUCUCCGGCUCUGGAUGUUUUCUCAAGAGCUGAUUUGAUUUGACUCCUGCGUUCCCUUUCGCUCUCCACGCCUCUUCACUAUUUUCCUCUUCUUCUUCGUCGUCUUCUUCUCCUCUUUUUUUACGACGCUCUUCUUUGCUGCAUUUGGUUUUCUCAUUUCUCUCCUCACCUUUCCCCUAAAUCUCACUCCUCUCCUCUCCUCCCGUCUGUCUCGUCCUCCUCUUCAUUUUCAUGCCUCUUCAUAUCUAUUGUUUCUGCUCUCCUCAUCCCUCCUCUGCAACCCUUGCCUUAAUUCCUCCCUCCUUCCCUCCCUCCUCAUCCUCAUCCUCCCUUCUUCACCCACUCCAUCCUCUCAUAACAGCUCAUGGACUGACAGGAUAACAUAUGAAGCCAAUCAUCCCAGGGAGCGGCUCUGAAAUAUUUUCUAUUUUUCUGGCCCCAUAAGGACUACAUCUCUCUCUCUCUCUCUCUCUCUCUCCCGCUCUCUUUCUCUCUCUCUCUCUCUCUCUUUCUCUCUCUCUCUCUC